rnacentral:rRNA from 1 species
UACGUAGGGUGCGAGCGUUAAUCGGAAUUACUGGGCGUAAAGCGUGCGCAGGCGGUGAUGUAAGACAGAUGUGAAAUCCCCGGGCUCAACCUGGGACCUGCAUUUGUGACUGCAUCGGCUGGAGUGCGGCAGAGGGGGAUGGAAUUCCGCGUGUAGCAGUGAAAUGCGUAGAUAUGCGGAGGAACACCGAUGGCGAAGGCAAUCCCCUGGGCCUGCACUGACGCUCAGUGCACGAAAGCGUGGGGAGCAAACAGGAUAGAUACC